rnacentral:lncRNA from 1 species
UGGCACAAGUAAGUCCCCUCCUCAAACUGACACAGGCAGUGCGCAUGUGUGAGCACCUCGUGGACAGGACGUGAGCAUGAGCCUGGUAUCGCCGGCCUUCAGGUGUCUGGAGCCCCCAC